AACUUGAUCUGUCAUAUGAAAUUGCAGAUUCUAGUGGUGGUAGUGGUGAGACGCCUUUCAAAGGUGUUCAUUUUUGCAACUUCAGUAUUGGACAUUGAAGAGGAUCCAGGACGAGAAGACAGGCAGAGUAGUUGACAAUUUGCAAGGCCAUUUGUGAGCCUGUCUUGGACACGUGGGAAGCCAAAAAGAGGCUGCAUGAUGAUCGUUGUGUGUUCCAGCCAUGCCAAUAUUUUGUUGAUCCUUGAUAACUGUGGAUCAAUAGCCGUGAGCAAUCAGCUAUAAUUCUUUGAGUUGAGGCUUGUAAUAUUAGGGCCGUGAUAAUCGGUUUGUGAACAUGCUUGCGGUGGCUGGGAUUUGAGACUCUGAUUUGCUCCAUGUUGUUUUGUCUACUACUAACCAGUUAGUUGAGAAAUUGAGACUCAAAUUUGCUCCAGGUUUACUCAUGUAUUGACAAGUAUGCAUUUGGCUCCUAGUAGCUAGCUGCUCUAGGUUUACUCGUGUAUCUAUGUUGUGAACCAGACCUAGACAAUGAAUAAAAUUAGAUACAUUUGGCUAAA